AUACGGUCAUAUCCUGUUGAAACACCGGUUCUCGUAUGAUCGCCGAAGUUAAACAAUUUCUAGCCUGGUAAGAAUGUAAAUGGGUGACCAAUUGGGAACAUUAGAUGCUGUAAG